rnacentral:rRNA from 1 species
UACGUAGGUGGCAAGCGUUGUCCGGAUUUACAGGGUGUAAAGGGCGUGCAGCCGGGACGGCAAGUCAGAUGUGAAAUCCAUGGGCUUAACCCAUGAACUGCAUUCGAAACUGUCGUUCUUGAGUGCCGGAGAGGUAAUCGGAAUUCCUUGUGUAGCGGUGAAAUGCGUAGAUAUAAGGAAGAACACCAGUGGCGAAGGCGGAUUACUGGACGGUAACUGACGGUGAGGCGCGAAAGCGUGGGGAGCAAAC